UGCUGGUGGUUUCAUGAAGGUAGCAGCUGGAAUACAGGAGCACAGUUGACUUUCUGAGUAGAAACAGAAGGAUUCAGUCAUGUUACUGACAGGCCCGGGAUGCAUGCUAGUGGCUUUGAUCCUGUACAUUUCAGGGGUGAAUGGAGAAGAAAAAAGAAUCUGCGUUUUAAGAGGUUCUUCAGUGGAUCUGCCCUGCCCAGCUCAAACUUACUCUUCAACUAGGAAGUGGUACACUAUACAACAUGACGGUGACAGAUACGUUCAGAAAGAGCUCUUUGCGGAUGAAACUCAUGUGAGAUUCAACACGUCUAACAAAAGUCUCCCAACUCUAACGAUCAAUUAUGUGAGUGAGAAAGAUGCAAAACUUUACUGCUGCAGCAGCAACAAUAAUGAAUCACACGCCUGCAACCAGAGAACAGUUCAGCUCAUUGUUUCAGACCUGCAGGUAAAGGUGAUUCCUGCCACAGAGGGACAGACAGUGAUGCUGAUGUGUAUCAGCAGUUGUCCUCUGACUGAAAACCCUGCAGCCUACGUC